rfam:Ipomoea nil DNA, scaffold: scaffold3056, cultivar: Tokyo-kokei standard.
CUGACCUUAGCUCAGUUGGUAGACUGGUGGACUGUAGUUGGACUAAUCUAAAUUGGAAAUCCUUAGGUCGCUGGUUUGAUUCCGGCAGGUUGGA